UACGUAGGGUGCAAGCGUUGUCCGGAAUUAUUGGGCGUAAAGAGCUCGUAGGCGGUUUGUCGCGUCUGCUGUGAAAACGCGAGGCUCAACCUCGCGCCUGCAGUGGGUACGGGCAGACUAGAGUGCGGUAGGGGAGAUUGGAAUUCCUGGUGUAGCGGUGGAAUGCGCAGAUAUCAGGAGGAACACCGGUGGCGAAGGCAGAUCUCUGGGCCGUAACUGACGCUGAGGAGCGAAAGCGUGGGGAGCGAACAGG
rnacentral:rRNA from 1 species